rnacentral:rRNA from 1 species
AGUGAACGCUGGCGGCAGGCCUAACACAUGCAAGUCGAGCGGCAGCGCGUCCGACCACCCUCGGGUGGUCGGAUGGCGGCGAGCGGCGGACGGGUGAGGAAUGCAUCGGAAUCUGCCUCGUUGUGGGGGAUAACGUAGGGAAACUUACGCUAAUACCGCAUACGACCUACGGGUGAAAGUGGGGGACCUUCGGGCCUCACGCGAUGAGAUGAGCCGAUGCCGGAUUAGCUAGUUGGCGGGGUAAAGGCCACCAAGGCGACGAUCCGUAGCUGGUCUGAGAGGAUGAUCAGCCACACUGGAACUGAGACACGGUCCAGACUCCUACGGGAGGCAGCAGUGGGGAAUAUUGGACAAUGGGGGCAACCCUGAUCCAGCCAUGCCGCGUGUGUGAAGAAGGCC